rnacentral:lncRNA from 1 species
ACUCACAAAGAGCCGAGGGGAGAGAGGGUGCGCAGACGGCCAGCCGGGCCGCGCCAGGGACAUACUGGAGACAGGAAGUGGCUGAGAGGGGGAGAGAGUUGGAGAGAGACGGCCGCGGAGGACACGGGGACGGGAAAGUCUGAGAGACGGGGAGAGCCUGACCCGGCGGGACACAGGCAGAAAGAAACACGCGAGCCAGACAGACGCAGAAGAAACGUGCCUGGUACUGGAUAGGAACUUCAUGGAAUGGAGCUAAUGGGCCGUAGGGCAGGUUUGAGUCGUGCCACCCUGGAGCAGAAGGUGGAGGGUAGGGAUAAGGGGGUGGAGCACCUGAUUCCAAUCUUGCCACAGGGAAGAAGAGUCUGUGAAGAAGUGCGUGAUGACUCAUUCCUUAGGGUCUUUGGCUGGGCUCUGGGAUGGAUGCCAUGGGAGUACCUUUACUUAAGCUCUAAAGUUACCAAUGGAGAGACUGGGACUCAAAGAGGAACUUGAUUGGACCCCAGAGAGGGUGGAGAGAAACUAGGAGAAAAGCACAGGAUGUAGAGGUCUAUUCGGCAUAAUCUUCUCCCUCAUUUUCAUCUUCACCAUCAACAGAGAGAGCAGCAUACUUGCUUGCAGAACUGAACUUCUGUAACACAACGAGAGUGACAGGAUAAUGAAGGCCCUGAAUUAUCACAUCAAAACCCAAGACACAGGAUACUGAUCCUUUGGCAAUGGGGGAUGACAGUCAGAUGACACCCACUUGCUUGCUCAUCAGCAUUGUCCAUUGGAGAGGAGCUAGGGAAGAGGGUCAGAGGCACAUGCGAUCUUACUAUAGUCUCAUACCACCUCUACACCUUGCAGAAGGGAUGAGAACAAAGGAAGACAGAAACCAGGAAAAAGCUAAACUUCUUUCGCUAUUUCAGUAAAGACCAAUGUCUUAUUUCCAAACACUUUGUAUUCCAAAUGGAAAGAAGUCCAACGGCAAAAAGUUUAGAAUACUAAGAAUUUUUAAUUCUUAGUAAGAAUACUUAGAAUUCUAAGAAUUUUUCUUAGAAUGAAAAAUUGGGAGCAGCCUUCAACACUUACGGAAGCUGGAUUUUCCUCAGGUUUCUUUGGCUCAGGUGCAGAUCUGGAGUCUUGAUCCUUUUUGCCAUCUUUCCUGCAGAGACGUAAGCAUAAAACCAUGUCUUUAGGAAAGGACUCGCCUAAUACAAACAUGUGUAUGCAUGCAGUUUCAAGGCACUGAACAGGCACCUCUAGUCAACAGUCCUUGUUGUCUGGAUGAUGUAUUACUUCUAGAUUUUCAGAAUCUUAACUGUCUACGUUGGCUGACUUUAGUUUGCUCACAAUGAGCGAUCUGGCAGUGCUCUGAGAACCAAGAACUUAAUUUCUUAAUUACACAAACAUGUGGAUCAGAGGAAAGAUGAGAAAGAGAACAAGCAUACCUAUCUGACUCCUUCCAGUGGUCUCUGUUCCCUCCGUCGCCUGGACCACGGCUAGAGUUCCCAGUUUGGCCUUUUGGGGCAUUCAUCCCAUCUACUUUAUUUUCAUCUGCUUGGGCAGUAAUGUAAACAAAUUAAAGGCAAGUAAAAGUAUCAAUGUCCCUCUCCUAAGAUUUCCCUUAAGCUGAAGAAAAUUGUGCCCACAUGUACUGAGGGAAACUAACCUCACCCCAACCCAGACUUCCUUCCUGAAGCCCUUCUUUCCACAUCCUCUACAGCACACAAAAAUACAAAAAACAAACAAAAUCCACUAAAAAGUUCCAUGUAGGGAUAUGCCAUCAUGAAAAGCAAGCUGGAAAUAAAGAUUAUGACGCUC